AACUGUGGUCCUUUAUAAAUAGCCAGCCACAGUGUAAGUAUAUUCUGUGCUUCUCAGGCUUGAUUUUCCUGUUAACUAAGACUCAAGUAAUGUUCUUUUCCCCUCUGGUUAUCUGAGUCUAUCUUGAAAACUUAAGUCAUAGGAUUGUGGUUACAAGUUUUGCUUGAGCUGAGGAUGUAGCUGAGUGCCUA